rnacentral:misc_RNA from 1 species
UGUGUUGCUUACCCGCGGAAAGGAAUUCGAUCGUACCGUUGCCCCUCUCCGCCCGGCGCCCGUAGUGGGUGCGGGGUGGACGCCAGGCGCGCUACGCGUCCCUCGCACGCCCCGCGCCGUUGCGGGGCUGUUGAGGNNNGCGGAGCUGUCGCCCGUUCUCUCGGAUGCGGAACGUGACGCGCGGGCGCGGGGGCCUCGGCCUUCGCUCGCCCGAGCCACGCAUUUGUCCCUUGACGCGAACGACUGCCGCGGCCGUCUCGACCUCGUCGUGGCCCUCGAAGGGCCGGGGCGGGGCUCGUGCGGUCGUCGGCGUCGUCGAGGAACGCUACCUGGUUGAUCCUGCCAGUAGUCAU